rnacentral:rRNA from 1 species
GACGAACGCUGGCGGCGUGCCUAACACAUGCAAGUCGAACGAGGUCCAUCCUUCGGGAGAAGACCUAGUGGCGAACGGGUGAGUAACACGUGAAGAACCUGCCCCGAAGACCGGGAUAACCCUCCGAAAGGAGAGCUAAUACCGGAUACCCCCACCGAACCGCAUGGUUUGGUGAGGAAAUGGAUUCCGCUUCGGGAGGGCUUCGCGGCCUAUCAGCUAGUUGGUGGGGUAACGGCCCACCAAGGCAUCGACGGUAGCUGGUCUGAGAGGACGAUCAGCCACACUGGGACUGAGACACGGCCCAGACUCCUACGGGAGGCAGCAGUGGGGAAUCUUGCGCAAUGGGCGAAAGCCUGACGCAGCAACGCCGCGUGGGGGAUGGAAGGCUCUCGGGUUGGUAAACCCCUUUCAGCAGGGACGAAUCAAGACGGUACCUGCAGAAGAAGCCCCGGCUAACUACGUGCCAGCAGCCGC